GGGGGUGAACGGUUUCGACUUUGGACGGACGAUCCAAGGGAAGCGGGCCGAGGAUCCAGGGUUAUCUCGUAAACGAUCUCUGGAAACCAAUAACUGCCGAUGCAAAUCGCAGUCACUUCGCUCUCGCCGCCUGACGGCCUGAGCCAAUGAAGUGGGUCAGCCCGGGUUUGCUUCCGACCCGGUUCCUGGCCUCAGCUAGGAAGCUUGCUUCGUCAACUCGGUCACGGGGUUGACGCGGGACAUUUACAGUGACUGAGCUCGUCAGCAACCCUGUCUGUGGGAGUGCUGGAGCCGAGAAAAGCGACUAACAGACUGCGCCCGGAGAAGUCUUGGGUCGACGCUGAAGGACGCGGGUUCGAUUCCCGCCACCUCCACCC
rnacentral:tmRNA from 1 species